rnacentral:rRNA from 1 species
GAUGAACGCUGGCGGCGUGCUUAACACAUGCAAGUCGAACGGAAAGGCCCAAGCUUGCUUGGGUACUCGAGUGGCGAACGGGUGAGUAACACGUGGGUGAUCUGCCCUGCACUUCGGGAUAAGCCUGGGAAACUGGGUCUAAUACCGGAUAGGACCACUUCGUAGUUGUUGUGGUGGAAAGUUUUUUCGGUGUGGGAUGAGCUCGCGGCCUAUCCGCUUGUUGGUGGGGUAAUGGCCUACCAAGGCGUCGACGGGUAGCCGGCCUGAGAGGGUGUACGGCCACAUUGGGACUGAGAUACGGCCCAGACUCCUACGGGAGGCAGCAGUGGGGAAUAUUGCACAAUGGGCGGAAGCCUGAUGCAGCGACGCCGCGUGGGGGAUGACGGCCUUCGGGUUGUAAACUCCUUUCGCCAAAGACGAAUUUAGGACGGUAUUUGGAGAAGAAGCACCGGCUAACUACGUG